CCUACGGGCGGCAGCAGUGAGGAAUAUUGGUCAAUGGGCUUACGCCUGAACCAGCCAAGUCGCGUGAGGGAAGACUGCCCUAUGGGUUGUAAACCUCUUUUGUCAGGGAGCAACGCCGGCUACGUGUAGCCGGACUGAGAGUACCUGAAGAAAAAGCAUCGGCUAACUCCGUGCCAGCGGCCGCGGUAAUACGGAGGAUGCGAGCGUUAUCCGGAUUUAUUGGGUUGAAAGGGUGCGCAGGCGGCGAGUUAAGUCAGCGGUAAAAUUUCGGGGCUCAACCCCGACAAGCCGUUGAAACUGGCUUGCUAGAGUGGGCGAGAAGUAUGCGGAAUGCGUGGUGUAGCGGUGAAAUGCAUAGAUAUCACGCAGAACUCCGAUUGCGAAGGCAGCAUACCGGCGCCCAACUGACGCUCAGGCACGAAAGCGUGGGUAUCGAACAGGAUUAGAUACCCCUGUAGUC
rnacentral:rRNA from 1 species